rnacentral:lncRNA from 1 species
UCAGCACAUGCUGAAUUGAACUAAAACAAUUCCCCCAACCUGAAUGUCUCCAUUUUCUACUUAAUUCUUAAUAUUCCCAUCAGCCAAUUUCAAAAACCUGGUGCUCACCCUUAACCCCUCUACCUCUUCCACAUUCAACAGACAGACACUCAUUACUCUUUCACAAUCAACCUCUCCAAUCUCACUUCUUAUCCAGAACUUAUAUCAAACUACAAAUAAAUCCCCCAAAACAAAAGAAACCAGGAUGUUUGACCUAACCUUUCUAUAAGCCUUGUUCCCUUUCAUUUUCUACUAAUCACUAAGAGAUGCCUUAGAUUUAUCUUAAUUUGUCUUAAAGGUCCCUGGCAGUGUGAACUGCCUGAAUUUAGGCUUGUACUCAGGUCUUAUACCAGGAAACUUUAUAACUUUUGGAAUAUUAGUUAUUGCUUUUCUGCCUCAGUUUCCUCCAGUGCCAAAUGAAGAGACUAACAUCUAUAUCAAUGCAUUAAACAAAGCAUUACAUGAUCUGAACUGGAUAGCCUAUAGUGAAA